UACAGAGGUGGCGAGCGUUGUUCGGAUUUACUGGGCGUAAAGGGUGCGUAGGUUGUCUUGCAAGUCGGGUGUGAAAUCUCACUGCUUAACGGUGAAACUGCGCCCGAAACUGCUAGACUGGAGUGCAGGAUAGGAAAGCGGAAUUCUUGGUGUAGCGGUGGAAUGCGUUGAUAUCAAGAAGAACACCGGUGGCGAAGGCGGCUUUCUGGAAUGCAACUGACACUGAGGCACGAAAGUUGGGGGAG
rnacentral:rRNA from 1 species